ACAGAAACAUAUAUCUGUCACAGUCACAGAGUUUGAUCAACUUAACCCUUCUGACAACUACAAUGGGCAGACUCUUGCGUCACCUCGUAAUAAUCAAGACCACAAUGAACAAAUCGCUAAUGAUCCUCUUAAUAAUCAGUGUCCUUCCAGAUCUAUCAGUCGGUGACUCCAUCUCUCCUCAGCAGACAAAGGUGUCCAAGACAGAAGGGGAAUCAGUGACUUUGCACUGCUCUUAUUCUAAAAGUAGUAGCAAUUAUUAUUAUCUAUAUUGGUAUCGUCAGUAUCCCCGCCAGUCACCAGAAUUCAUACUGUACAGGGGAGAAUCAGAAAGGUCUGAUACUAAGGCAGACUUUGCCAAAGAGCGCUUCUCCAGCUCUACAACAGACAAGUCCACAGCACUGACCAUUCAAACCCUGACUCUCAGUGACACUGCAGUCUACUACUGCGCUCUUAGACAAGCACAGCAUGAAAAUUCAUUGCAACAAGACAGGUAA